GGGAAAUCCUGUUGACCGUCGACGGAACCUCGCUGAGAAACACAAAAAGGCAGACCUGGGGGAGGAGAGGACGGAGAGUUAGAGGGAAGCAGGUCAUAUGUGAAUGGAGGGAGGAGGGAAGCAGGUCAUAUGUGAUGGAUGGAGGAGGGAAGCAGGUCAUAUGUGAUGGAGGAGGGAAGCAGGUCAUAUUGAUGGAUGGAGGGAGGAGGGUUAGAGGGAAGCAGGUCAUAUGUGAUGGAGGGAGGAGGGUUAGAGGGAAGCAGGUCAUAUGUGAUGGAGGGAGGAGGGUUAGAGGGAAGCAGGUCAUAUGGAUGGAUGGAGGGGGAGGGUUAGAGGGAAGCAGGUCAUUGAUGGACGGAGGAGGGUUAGAGGGAAGCAGGUCAUAUGUGAUGGAGGGAGGAGGAGGGUUAGAGGGAAGCAGGUCAUAUGUGAUGGAGGGAGGAGGGUUAGAGUGAAGCUGGCCAUAUGUGAUGGAUUACAGUAGUGUGUGACUCACGGGGGUCGUUGGAGCGGUGGGGUCCUUCUUCCUCCUACCACUCUUGGCCAUCCCCUUGGGGGGACGUACCCCCUCAUGUCCCUCUCAUAACGCACCUUGUCGUUCUCGCCAUGUCCCUCAAAACGACGCUUGUCAAUCGCAGUGGAAGCCUACACACAGUUAAAAACACACUACAUUAUAUAUAUAUACUAUUACACACAAACACAGUUAUAAUAUUACACACAAACACAGUUAUAAACACACUACAUUAAUACAUUUAACAUAUUACAU
rnacentral:lncRNA from 1 species